rnacentral:rRNA from 1 species
CGACGUGAGUAACCUGCCUUGGAGUGGGGAAUAACACAGUGAAAACUGUGCUAAUACCGCAUAAUGCAUUUGGGUCGCAUGAUUCUGAAUGCCAAAGAUUUAUCGCUCUGAGAUGGACUCGCGUCUGAUUAGCUAGUUGGCGGGGUAACGGCCCACCAAGGCGACGAUUGGUAGCCGGACUGAGAGGUUGAACGGCCACAUUGGGACUGAGACACGGCCCAG